CUGUCCAUGAUCCCCUGCUGUCUGUUCUCCAUGCACCAUGCACCAUCUGCACCAUGCUGUGUCCACAGUGUCUACACAGUUCCUGAAACAUGAGGGACAAAUAGCUACUUUUCACUGAAGAAAGCUGGUGGAUACCAAAGUAAACAUCAUCAACACUGGAACCACCGGUAUCAAAUACCUCCGGAUAUGGUGCAGAGAAAGACAAGCCAUCACUUCCAUGCCAGAACAAAAACUUGAAUUUAACCAUGAGAAAACAUCAGACAUUCUAUGAAGUAAUUGGUCUGUACUCUUCAAAAAUGUCAAGGUCGUGAAAGUCAGAGAGUCAGAGGAAAGAUUCCAGAUAAAGAUUAAAGCAACAUGACAACUAAAUAUAAUGUACGAUCCUAGGUUGGAUCCUGAACUGAGGAAAAUGAAAUAGCCAUGAUCCCCUUCCCUGGACCCGUGCUGAGGCUCCGUGUGAAUCUCCAAGAUCUCCCCGCCAUCAUGCAAGGUUUAUCAAGCACGCACAGGAGCCCACCGUACUGCUCCGCCUUCCUUUCUGUGCACCCCGAGUAGACUGCAGUUUAUCAGUGUGUCAGCUUGUUCGCAAGCCUGCUGUAGUCCCUCUAGCACAUAGAUUAAUUUUUCUUCAGAGAGCCAAGAAGGGACAUAAGCAUUUUCCUACUCGAAAAUCUGCCAGAAAUUUCAAAACAAUCUAAAAGUGUUAAAGGGUAU